GCUGAUUUUGUCGCUAUAUAUUUUCCUGUGUAUAACGUGGAUUUUAUCGCACGAUAAUUUCGUCAACGGAAGAGCAGGGACAAAUUAAAAGAAGAAGAUCCUGCAAAACUUGAAAAGUUGAAAAAAGAAAAUUCUGAAAGAACUAAGAAAACAUAUUAAAAUAUUAAACAACUACCAGAAUUCAAGCGCAGCAAAAACAAAUAGAAAACUUAAAAGAAUCAUUAAAAAAGACUGAAAAUGAAUUGAAAACGUCCGAACUUUAGGUGAAAAGGCUAAGCUCUAGACUAG
rnacentral:misc_RNA from 1 species